GAAAUAUAGAGUAUAAAAGGAAAGGAAACUGAAGCAUUUACAACUAUAGAAAUAGAUUUGGGCCAGUCAGGUGGUGCUUCAAAUGGGGAGUGUUAAAUUCAUUUCUUAGUCAACUCAAGCAGGAGCUGUGAAGGUGGGUAACACCAUUAAAGCACUAUUUGAGGAUGUUAAUCUCAUGGUUAAACAAAAACAAAAACAAAGGGCCAAACAAAAGGAUCAACGUGGAAACAGAGGCAGAGAACAAAGUAAUCAUCCAAAUGAAACAGCAGACCCAGACAGGGCAGGUGCAGCCAUGCACGUUGAUGGGCUUGCCAAGGGCAAGCUUGUGCAGCAGUAGCUGUUAACAAGGUAUAUGAAGAUCACCUGUCGAGUUUGUUAACCAUAUAGAUUCCAGGAUCUGACUCCCAGAGAAUCUAAUUCAGAAGCUGCCUGGAGGGGCAAUGAGACUGAACUUUUAAAAAGUAGUCACCGUGAUUCUAAGGCCAAUUUUGAGAAAUAUUAAUGGAGUAAAUAAAGAAAGCUAAUGGCAGAACCUUGAGGAAAAAACUGUUUUUAAUGAGAUGAGAAGGAAGAGGAGACAGCAAAGGAAAUAAGGAAUGACAUGAAGUAAGAGGAAGGAAAAGAAGCAUGCAGUAAGAAUUUCAAGAGGAGGUUUUGGCAAACGCUACAAACUAUCAAUGAAAUGAAUAUGGACAGGAAACAGAAUAACACCAAAAACUGUCUGUAAAGGAUCAAUGUUCAAUGGAGCUUGGAUUUGUCAUGGGUCUCUGGUGACAAACAUUGGUCAUAUUGGCUUGUCACUUACUACUUUUUAUGGAAGAAGCUGGAAAAGCCACACUGAUAAGGAUUGAGCUCCUGAGCAGCCAGAAGUCCCUCAGGGCAGCACACACGCCUGAAAGGGAUUGUGCAUGGUGGAUUCUGACAGCACCCCAUAUAGGAAAAGGAUACCUAAAUGUGUAAACAGAAUCAGAGGCCACAAAUUAAACUCUUCCAUCAAUGGUUGGAAGACUGGACCAUAGCUGCACUUGAACUCAUCCACCAAAGGUUGGAAGACUGGACCAUAGCUGCACUUGAACUCUUCCACCAAAUCCCUUCAAAAGACAAAACUCUCUCUCUCUAGAGGUCUUGAGGCUUAGCUCAAAGCAAUGGCUGCAAGCUUGAAAUUUGUUUUUUUCUUUUAUUUAAGCUAAAAUGUCAUGUAAAUUUUGAUAUCUACUGCAUAAAGCAUGUCUUUGUUUUGAUAUAAAAAUAACACUUUAUUUCUUGUUAACUUACUUUUUUCCCAAAUAGGGAUUGGGGUGUGGGGGCAGUAUAUACCAGGAAAUGUACUUAGAGCUUCACAAAUGCUAUUACAUGUAAAUCUCACAGGAAGGUAUUAUUAAUCCUAUAUUUUUGUUGAUGAGACAAAGCUGUAUAGUAGUUGAAAUGUUCACCCAUUGUCACACAUUAGAAAGGGGAGAAGAAGAAUUCUAAGUUCAGUUUGUCUGUCCUUAAAGUCUGCUCUCCUGAAAAGGGUAGGCGCUCUGUUGACUUCAUAUGCUUUGCUGAGUAUCCAUUUAUUUACCUGCCCUUAUUGAAUGAAAUCUCUACAUCUAAUUUAAUAAAGUCACUCCAAGCAGUGAGCUUAACUUAAGAAAAAGAUAGUGUGACAAUUCGGUUUGCCAUUAGAACUUGGGGGCCUAUGUAAUCCAAAAGAUCAUUGCAUCAGAUAAAAGAUGGUCCCCCAAAUCAGUCCCCAGGGAUGCUCUAUCAGGAGCCGUUAUGCACG
rnacentral:lncRNA from 10 species